UCACUGCCGAUCGGGCUAAUUGACUGUUGACUUUGAAAGGAAAGAAAACCUAGAGAUAUUAAAUUGGUGUUGUCAGAAACUCUUCUAUUUGUAUUGUUUUUAUUCGUCAAACGUUUGACGUCCGCAGUGUACAUUUUCAGCAUGCAAGAUGCAGACACAAGCAGACUUAGUGAAGGCCUGUCCAUCUAGAUCACCCAUGACGACCAAGCCAUAGAAGAUAGCAAUAACUCCCUUUAGUCCAUGAUGAUACACUGUUGGGAGCAAGUGGUAUUCGAUGAUGACGACGAAUUCAAAGACGACCUCGACUCCACGUCAUGUCAGCACUUAAGUCAACGAUGCGACGCGGUGGAUCGAGCAGGCUGUGGAGCGCCGUGAGAUAUUAUGGACUCAUGGGGGGGGGGUAUACUGGGGACCGUUUCAUGAAAGUUGUCAGCACUGACAAGAUUCUUUCUCAAACUGUUAUCAUAGUAACAGUCAGAGGCCAGAGCUUCUCAGCCAAUCAAAAGCAAGGAUUUCACUGAAAUAGUCAGCACUGACAAUUUAGUCAGUGCUGACAACUUUCAUGAAACACCCCCGGAUAAUCAAACCUAGGUUUAAAAACUAGAAUUUGAAACCACACUUCUAAUAAUGGGCUUUAUAUUAUUUAUUCCAUAUUCGUGGCAAUAAUAAUGCAUCGAUUGAUUAAUUAAAAUUCAUAAUAUUUUUGUAUUUUCCAAUUCUUUCCAUGUUAUGACUCAACUAAUUUUUCACAAAUUUCUAAGGCAAUCUUAAUAAGAAUAAUUUUUAAUCGUUGAAUGUAUUGACAAAAUUGGCACUCAAUAAAAGUGUUAUCUUAGUUAACCCAGGUUUAAAUAAACCAUGUCUAUAAUAUCAUAAUACCAUCCUGAGAUAUGAAUUUAUAUCACCAUCGUCAUAAGCCGUGAUCAGGGCUUCCAUGAAUAAAAAAAAAUUAUAAUAAUGGUAAAGUUGUCAUUUUAUGGUAACCAAUUAUGAACUGGUAGGUUUUCGGGCUUGGGAUAGCUGGAACCCCCACCCCCCUCCCCCCAAAAAAAUCUUUAAAUAAUUUGUAUUCGAUUCUUGGUCGCAAAGUUUUCAAACUUGUGCACGACGGUGUGGAAAGUUCAACGCCCUUAUUUUUCUUUUGGCCUCAUUACGCCAAUGAUGAUCGGGAUUUGGAUUGGAUGCUGAUUUCACAAAUAUUCUGUAAACUUUAUUAUUAUUUUUUUUUUAUUAAAAAAAUAUUUUGUGCCCUUGUAGUCUGGGAAAACAAUGUAUCAUACGUAUGAUAUUACUUAAAACUGCAUAUGGGAAAUGAAAGCAUUCUUAUUAUUUGUCACCACGCAUAUAAUUUGUUUUAUUCAAAUAAUAUUUCUAAAAUUAGUGAUAUAUACCAACUUAUUCUCUCAGUGCUCAUAUUAUAUUUCAAGAAAAAUUAGUUUCACGUAACAAACAUAUUCACGCUAAAACACGAACUUUAAAAAUGGCUAAUUUCAAUGUAUAACAAUUAAGUUCAAGUUUACAUUAGAAAAAAAGACCCAAUAUUAUAUUUUCAUAUUCAUAUUUAAGUCAUUCAUAUAUUUAGAAUAAAAAAUCUAGGUCACGAUGCACAAUUUCCCUUCUAGUUUCAAUAUCCUAUGUAUUGAUAUUAUAAGAGAUACAAAGAGUUACAACUGUUGUAACUUUGCCACUAUGGCAACUACCAUGGCUACAGGGCUCGGCAACAAAUCAAAAUCAAGGUUACCAUGGUAGUUGCCAUAAUGGCAAAGUUACAACAGUUGUAACUCUUUAUGAAACGACCACCAGGCCUUUGUCUAAUUUCGCAUUGCUGUUUCUCUUUGUUUGUAAAUCAGGGUCCAGCUCUUCACGAGUUCUGCUUCUUGUUGGCCUUUGUUUUACUUUUCAAAGUUUGCUAUCGUUUCAAAACUUUUAAGAGCCUAACUACAGGAAGCACGGGAAUCUCAGAAUGUUCAGAGAGAAACAAA